rnacentral:rRNA from 1 species
GUAAUCACUUGUUCUUUAAUUGAGGACUAGUAUGAAUGGCCCCACGAGGACUACACUGUCUCCUUUCUCUAAUCAAUGAAACUGAUCUCCCCGUGAAGAAGCGGGGAUAAACCUAUAAGACGAGAAGACCCUAUGGAGCUUUAAACAACAGAAAUACUUGCUUCUUUCCUACCAUUUUCUGAAAACUAAAUUAAUUCAAGCAUUUUAUCUCCCAGUUUUAGGUUGGGGUGACCACGGAGAAAAAAUAAACCUCCAUGUUGAAAGAAGCCUUCCACCUUCUAAGCAAAAAGACACAACUUUAUGCAUCAACACAUUGACUCCCAUUGACCCAAUAAUUUGAUCAACGAACCAAGUUACCCUAGGGAUAACAGCGCAAUCUACU